rnacentral:misc_RNA from 1 species
GGAUUUAUGUGUACAGUUUAGGCCUACCAUAAUUAUUCUUCUUGAAACUAAAACUAAUGAAAAAAAGAAUAGAUUAUGUUCAUCGUGUUAUUGGGUUUGAGGGUAGUUUUUCGGUGGACAGUGUGAGGCAGAGUGGUGUUGUUGCUUUGUUGUAGAAAGAGAAGUCGAUGGUUCAAUUGCUGAGCUAUUCAAAAUUUCACAUUGAUGUGUCGGUUUCAUUAAACUCAUUUCCUGUUUGGAGGUUAACUGGGUAUUAUGAGCAGCCAGAUCGUAAUCUCCGAAAGGAGUCUUGGGAGCUAUUAUGUAUGCUAAGUCAGAAAUCCUCUUUACGGGUAGAGGGACUGCUAAUUGGGUUGAGGAGCGACUGGAUAGGGAUAGGGCCCUUGUGACAUCCUCUUGGCUUUCUCAUUUCAAAUGUGCAAAGUUAGUUAAUGUGGAAUUUACUUCAUCUGAUCAUUUUCCUAUUUUUCUUUCAUUGCAUCCAACUACUAUGCCAUGGGGGAAAGCUAGAUUUCAAUUCGAAAAUUUCUGGCUACAAGAUCCUGCUUGUAGAGUAGUUGUGGAAAGGAGUUGGGCCUAUCCCAAUCAGCGUUCUGUAAUGGAUAAAAUAUCAGAUUGUGGACGGGAUCUCUCUUUAUGGGGGGGUGGUCAUAUGAAACACCUCAGAUCACAGAUCGCAGGUUGUAAGCGUCGUCUAAAGUUGCUUCGCCCAAGACAUGAUUCUUUCUCUAUUUCUCAAUAUGAUACAGUUAAGAAGGAGUUAGAUGGCUUAUUUCAAAAGAUGGAUGUCUACUGGAAGCAAUGUGCAAAAGAGUUUUGGUUACGAGAGGGAGACACUAAUUCCAAAUUCUUCCACGCUCAAGCCUCUUGCAAAAGAAAGAAAAAUUCUAUAGACUGCUUGUGGGAUGAUGAAGGGAAUCGUCGAGAUUGGGGGUUAGGUUUGGAGGAGCUGAUGUUGGAUAAUUUCAACUCUCUUUUUAGUUCUUCAGGUUGUGAUGGUGCACCUAUUUUUGAUUGUGUUCCUCAAGUAGUUUCAGAGGAACAAAAUCUAGCUCUCACAGCAAACUUCUCUCGGGAGGAGAUUAAACAGGCUAUUAAUUCCAUGCAUCCAGACAAAUCGCCAGGCCCAGAUGGCAUGAAUCCGGCCUUUCAUCAGUGCUUUUGGAAUAUUGUAGGUAAUGAUAUGUCUACUGCCUGUUUAUCUUAUUUGAAUAAUGGUUUGCCUCCUUCUGGUUUGAAUGAUACUCACAUAGUGUUGAUUCCUAAGAAGAAAUCUCCUCGUACUAUGGCUGAUUUUAGACCAAUUGCUCUUUAUAAUGUCCUCUAUAAAGUGGUUGCUAAGGUCUUAGCCAAUAGAUUGAAGGGUGUAUUAUUAGAUAUUAUUUCUCCUUUUCAGAAUGCGUUUAUACCUAGUCGGUUAAUAUCUGAUAAUAUCAUUGUAGCCUUUGAAGUAGUUCAUUUUCUGAAAAGGAAGAGAAGGGGUAAAGAUGGCACAACUGCUUUGAAAAUAGAUAUGAGUAAAGUUUAUGAUCGAAUUGAAUGGGACUAUUUGUGAGGCAUGAUGUUGAAACUAUGUUUCAAUGUUAAAUGGGUUGAGCUUAUAAUGAUGUGCAUAACUUCUGUUAGAUAUUUUCUUUUACAGCAGGGUAGAGAAAUUGGCCCAAUUAUUCCAGCUAGAGGAUUGAGGCAGGGAGAUCCUUUAUCUCCAUAUUUGUUCAUCAUUUGCUCUGAAGGUUUAUCUGCUUUGUUGAGGCAUAGGGAGGGGCAAGGUCUUAUUCAUGGUUGUAGAGUUGCACGAGGGGUGCCACCUAUUUCUCACUUGUUUUUUGUAGAUGACAGUUUCCUUUUUUUUCAGAGCUACUUCUAAAGAACGUGAUUCCAUUCUGGAGUGUUUACAGUUGUAUGAAAGGGCAUUAGGUCAAGUUAUAAAUUUCCAUAAGUCCUCCAUAGCGUUUAGUGCCAACACUAAUGAUGAUGUUCAGUUGUUAAUUAGACAAAGGCUUCAAAUUGGAGAGAUUAUAGAUUUAGGGUGUUAUCUAGGGUUGCCUACUGCUGUGGGAAGGAAUAAGAAGGAGGUUUUUGCUUUUAUCAGAGACAAAGUAUGGCAGCGUAUUCAAAGGUGGAAGUGAAAUUUUUUAUCUCGUGCAGGAAAAGAGAUCCUAUUAAAGUCAGUAGUUCAGGCUAUUCCUUCUUACACUAUGAGUGUGUUUCUAUUUCCUCUAGAUCUGUGUGCUGAGCUUGAACGUAUGAUGAACUCUUUUUGGUGGGGUUCAGGUGGUAGAGGUGAGGGUGGAAUAAGAUGGAAGAGAUGGGAACUUUUGUGUAAGCAUAAGUUUAUCGGUGGUUUGAGUUUUCAUAGAGUUCAUGAAUUCAAUUUGGCUUUACUGGGAAAGCAAGUUUGGUAACUAAUAAGUAAUCCCAAUUCUUUAGUAGCUAGAGUGUAUAAAGCUCGUUAUUUCCCACAGUCUGAUAUUUUGCAAGCAAAGCUGGGGUAUAAUCCUAGUUAUGUGUGGCGUAGUGCAUGGGCUGCUAGUCCAAUGUUGAGAUCUGGUUUAAGAUGGAAGGUUGGAUCGAGAGCGUCUAUUUCCUUAUGGCAAGACCCUUGGCUUCCUUCAGGUAUGAACCCUUAUGUAAGUUUAGUGGUUCCUGUGAUAUCUCAUUAUCAGCUGGUUUGUCAGUUGAUGACAGAUGAUGGUUUAUCAUGGAAUAUGGAAAUUAUAAGGAACCUUUUUAAUGGCAGAGAUGUUGCUCUAAUUGGUCAAAUUCCAUUAUUGCAAACAGGAAGGGAUGAUGUCAGAUUUUGGAUUCACGACCUUAAGGGAAUUUUCACUGUAAAGAGUGCAUAUAAAUGGCUGAUGGGAGAUUUUAAUGCAAGUUCUCCUGGGGAGUCAGUUGGUUUCUGGAAGAAGAUAUGACAAUUGAAAAUUCCUCCAAAGAUCAAAAAUUUUAUUUGGAGGUUGGGUUCUGAUUGUGUUCCUUUAAAGAGUUGAUUGCUGCAGAGACAUGUAGAUGUGGACACAUUGUGUUCUAUGUGUGGAUUGGAGAUUGAAGAUUGGAGGCAUGUAUUUGUUAUAGGCUGUUUGGCUCGUGAUUGUUGGCGUACAGUAUUACCACAAGUUCUGUAGUUGUCCAGUUUGUCUAUUCUCUCUCAAAAUAGAGCUAUAGUAUGGUUAAAGGAAAUAUUUAGAGCUCUAGGUGUGGAGGACCUGAUGGUGUUCUGUGUUACUCUUUGGGCUAUUUGGUUUGCUAGAAAUGAUAAGCUUUGGAAUAGGAGACCAGUUACGGCUUCUCAAAUUCUCUUGAAGGCGUCUUCUUUUUUUCAGCAGUAGAAAGAGGCUCAGUCUAAGUUUGGUUUGUGCCCUGAAGUUUCUGUAGCAAUUUCUCCCUCUGUUGUGCAAUGGAUGCGGCCUCCUGUUGGCAUGUUAAAAUGCAAUGUUGAUGCAGCUGUUUUUGGUGGGGUGGGGAAGAUUGGGACAAGCUGGGUAGUUCGUGAUCAUGAAGGGAAAGUUUUAAAUGAACGCCAGGUCUCUCAUGAUGGUGUCCGGAUGCAACAGUUACAGAAGCAAUAUCUUUACGGGAGGCCCUCAGUUGGGUGAAAAAGAGAUCCUUGCAAAAUAUUAUUUUUGAAAGUGAUUCCCUUGUCCUUGUCCAGCCAGUAAAUGAAUUCUACAUGGAUCUAUCUUAUUUUGGUGGUUUAGUCUUAGAUUGCCAAGUCUUGCUUAAAGAAAUUGCUAAUUGUUCUGUUAUUUAUAUUAGAAGGUCAGCAAAUUGCGUGACACACCUACUAGCCACUUCUGCAAUUUCUUGGACUGAUCUGCAGGAUUGGGGUUCCAAUCCGCCUGCUCUUGUUUUGUCAACUGUAUUUUCUGAUUUGCAGUAAUAAUAUUUCUUAUUAUUCAAAAAAAAAAAAAAG